rnacentral:rRNA from 1 species
UUCCAGACUCCUACGGGAGGCAGCAGUGGGGAAUAUUGCACAAUGGGGGAAACCCUGAUGCAGCGACGCCGCGUGAGCGAUGAAGUAUUUCGGUAUGUAAAGCUCUAUCAGCAGGGAAGAAGAUGACGGUACCUGACUAAGAAGCCCUGGCUAACUACGUGCCAGCAGCCGCGGUAAUACGUAGGGGGCAAGCGUUAUCCGGAUUUACUGGGUGUAAAGGGGGCGCAGACGGCAGCGCAAGCCAGGAGUGAAAGCCCGGGGCCCAACCCCGGGACUGCUCUUGGAACUGCGCGGCUGGAGUGCAGGAGGGGCAGGCGGAAUUCCUGGUGUAGCGGUGAAAUGCGUAGAUAUUAGGAGGAACACCAGUGGCGAAGGCGGCUUACUGGACUGUAACUGACGUUGAGGCUCGAAAGCGUGGGGAGCAAACAGGAUUAGAUACCCCAGUA